rnacentral:rRNA from 1 species
CCUACGGGCGGCAGCAGUGGGGAAUAUUGGACAAUGGGGGGAACCCUGAUCCAGCCAUGCCGCGUGUGUGAAGAAGGCCCUCGGGUUGUAAAGCACUUUCAGUGAGGAAGAACGCCUGGUGGUUAAUACCCAUCAGGAAAGACAUCACUCACAGAAGAAGCACCGGCUAACUCCGUGCCAGCAGCCGCGGUAAUACGGAGGGUGCGAGCGUUAAUCGGAAUUACUGGGCGUAAAGCGCGCGUAGGUGGCUUGAUAAGCCGGUUGUGAAAGCCCCGGGCUCAACCUGGGAACGGCAUCCGGAACUGUCAAGCUAGAGUGCAGGAGAGGAAGGUAGAAGUCCCGGUGUAGCGGUGAAAUGCGUAGAGGUCGGGAGGAAUACCAGUGGCGAAGGCGGCCUUCUGGACUGACACUGACACUGAGGUGCGAAAGCGUGGGUAGCAAACAGGAUUAGAUAGCCUAGUAGUG